rnacentral:rRNA from 1 species
UACGAAGGGGGCUAGCGUUGUUCGGAAUUACUGGGCGUAAAGCGCACGUAGGCGGAUCGAUCAGUCAGGGGUGAAAUCCCAGAGCUCAACUCUGGAACUGCCUUUGAUACUGUCGAUCUGGAGUAUGGAAGAGGUGAGUGGAAUUCCGAGUGUAGAGGUGAAAUUCGUAGAUAUUCGCAAGAACACCAGUGGCGAAGGCGGCUCACUGGCCCGAUACUGACGCUGAGGUGCGAAAGCGUGGGGAGCAAACAGG